rnacentral:rRNA from 1 species
UUUGAUAAUUUUAUAAUAAUAAUAAGAUAAAAAAAGGAUUUUUUAGUUUUAUUAAUUUUAUGAAAAAAAUAGGUUUUAUUAUAGUUGAGUAGUAAAGUGAUUGAUUUUUUUUUAAAAAUGCAAAAGAAAAGUUUAUUUUUUGUACCUUGUGUGUCAGGGUUUAUUUAAAUAAAAUUAUUUAAUUUAAUUUUCUCGAUUUUAAAAGGGCAAUUUAUUUUUAUAUUUUAAUGUGGAAUAAUUAUUUUUAAAAAAUAGAUUGUAAUUAUAUAUUAUCCGAUUUUAAAGAUAUCUAGUUCUUAAAGAAAAAAAUUAAAUUUUAUUAAAUAAAAUUAUUUAUUUUUGUUUUUUAAAAAAUAAAUUUUUAUUUAAUUAUAUUAUUAGGGAUAAGCUUUUUAAUAAAUUAUUAAAAAUUUUUAUAUUAAUUUUAAAUUGUAGGAUUAAUAAUGUCUUUCAGUUAAUUUAUUAUUAUUAAUUAGAUUUUAAAUAAAGAUUUUUAUAUUAGUUUUAAUUCUUUUAUUUAAGUAUUGAAUUUAAUAGCCAAAUUUAAGAAAUAGUGAUAGAAUUAGUAUAAAUUUAUGUAUUAAGUAUUUAGGGAGUAAGGUUUUAUAAAGGAAUUCGGCAAAAAAAUUUUCUGCCUGUUUAUUAAAAACAUGUCUUUUUGAGUAUAAUUUAAAGUCUAGCCUGCCCACUGAAGUUUUAAAUGGCCGCAGUAUUUUGACUGUGCAAAGGUAGCAUAAUCAUUAGUUUUUUAAUUGAAAACUGGAAUAAAAGGUUGGACAAGAAAAUUUCUGUCUCUGUAAGAUUUAUUUAGAAUUUUAUUUUUAAGUUAAAAAGCUUAGAUAAAAUUAAAAGACGAGAAGACCCUUUAGAGUUUUAUAUUGUUAUUUAAAAUUUAGAGUAGGAGUAGAAGAAAUUUAUUUUAUUUAAAGUAUUUAGUUGGGGUGAUUAGAAAAUUUUAUAAACUUAUUUUUUUAUAAAAACAUAGAUUUAUGAAAGAUUGAUCCAUAGAGUUAUGAUUAAAAGAUUAAAUUACCUAAGGGAUAACAGCGUAAUUUUUUUUUAGAGUUCAAAUCGAUAAAAAAGUUUGCGACCUCGAUGUUGGAUUAAAAUUUUAUCUUGGCGGAGAAGCUAGGAUAAUGGGUCUGUUCGACCUUUAAAAUUUUACAUGAUCUGAGUUUAAACCGGUGUGAGCCAGGUUGGUUUCUAUCUUUAAUUAGUUUAAUGUUUUAGUACGAAAGGACCAAACAUUAUUAAAAUUUAUUAUUAAUUGAUUGUUAUUAAUAU